CCUACGGGAGGCAGCAGUGGGGAAUAUUGCACAAUGGGGGAAACCCUGAUGCAGCGACGCCGCGUGAGUGAAGAAGUAUUUCGGUAUGUAAAGCUCUAUCAGCAGGGAAGAAAAUGACGGUACCUGAUUAAGAAGCCCCUGCUAACUACGUGCCAGCAGCCGCGGUAAGACGUAGGGGGCAAGCGUUAUCCGGAUUUACUGGGUGUAAAGGGAGCGUAGACGGCAGCACAAGUCUGGAGUGAAAUGCCGGGGCUUAACCCCGGAACUGCUUUUGAAACUGUGCAGCUAGAGUGCAGUAGAGGGAAGUGGAAUUCGUAGUGUAGCGGUGAAAUGCGUAGAUAUUAGGAGGAACACCAGUGGCGAAGGCGGCUUACUGGACUGUAACUGACGUUGAGGCUCGAAAGCGUGGGGAGCAAACAGGAUUAGAUACCCCAGUAGUC
rnacentral:rRNA from 1 species